rnacentral:rRNA from 1 species
UACGUAGGGUGCGAGCGUUGUCCGGCAUUAUUGGGCGUAAAGGGCUCGUAGGCGGUUUGUCGCGUCGGGAGUGAAAACACCGGGCUUAACUCGGUGCUGGCUUUCGAUACGGGCAGACUAGAGGUAUUCAGGGGAGAACGGAAUUCCUGGUGUAGCGGUGAAAUGCGCAGAUAUCAGGAAGAACACCCGUGGCGAAGGCGGCUCUCUGGGACGGUACUGACGCUGAGACGCGAAAGCGUGGGGAGCGAACAGG